UACGUAGGUGGCAAGCGUUGUCCGGAUUUACUGGGCGUAAAGAGCGCGCAGGCGGUCGUUCAAGUCGCGUGUGAAAGCCCCCGGCUCAACUGGGGAGGGUCACGCGAUACUGAUCGACUCGAAGGCAGGAGAGGGUAGUGGAAUUCCCGGUGUAGUGGUGAAAUGCGUAGAUAUCGGGAGGAACAUCCGUGGCGAAGGCGGCUGCCUGGACCAGCACUGACACUGAGGCACGAAAGCGUGGGGAGCAAACAGG
rnacentral:rRNA from 1 species